rnacentral:rRNA from 1 species
GAUGAACGCUAGCGGCAGGCCUAAUACAUGCAAGUCGAACGGAAUAUAGUUUUCGGAUUAUAUUUAGUGGCGCACGGGUGAGUAACACGUACAUAACUUACCCUCAAGAGGGGGAUAGCCUUGGGAAACUGAGCGUAAUACCCCAUAGUAUUAUUGAACGGCAUCGUUUGAUAAUUAAAGCUACGGCGCUUGAGGAUAGAUGUGCGUCUGAUUAGCUAGUUGGUAAGGUAACGGCUUACCAAGGCGACGAUCAGUAGGGGGCGGUGAGAGCGUGGCCCCCCACCACGGUACGUGAGACAC